GCGCUUGUAGCUCAAUUGGAUAGAGCGCCUGACUUCGGAUCAGGAGGUUCUGGGUUCAACUCCUAGCAAGCGCACCA
rnacentral:tRNA from 1 species